UUACUCAGUUCAGAUUGCAGGCUGCAACCCGCCUGCAUGAAGUCGGAAUUGCUAGUAAUCGCGGAUCAGCAUGCCGCGGUGAAUACGUUCCCGGGCCUUGUACACACCGCCCGUCACACCAUGAGAGUUUGUAACACCCAAAGCCGGUGGGGUAACCUUUUGGAGCCAGCCGUCUAAGGUGGGACAGAUGAUUGGGGUGAAGUCGUAACAAGGUACC
rnacentral:rRNA from 1 species